UCCAGCGCUCUAGUGCCCGGGUAGGUGGGGAGGGGGUGAUUUGCGCACGGCACGCCGUUACGCGCGCAUGUUCGCACGGCCCGGUUGUAUCUCCGGAGAUAUAAGGCGAGACGUUCCAUUCCAUUCCGUUACAGCUAGCCUGUCCGGACCUCCUCAGCGACAUGCGUCCAUCUUGCUGCGACCAGUCUGAAGGCACUAGCUGCAAACAGAUAAGUGGUAGAGGAUCUUCUCCCAGAAACUGCUGUUCUUCUGGUGGCUCAUGCAACUGUUGCUCAUCAAGUCGUGAUAACAAAUGUUGCUCAACCGACCGCUCUUGCAAAUGUUGCUCACGUAGCCAUUCUAACAGUUGUUGCUCGCCUGGUUGCACCUGCAGUUGUUGCUCUACAGGUCGAGCCAACAACUGUUGUUCAUCAAGUCGCGAUAUCAACUGUGGCUCACCCAAUCAUUCUUGCAGAUGUUGCUCACGUGUCCGUAGUAACAACUGUUGCUCACCUGGUUGCACCUGCAGUUGUUGUUCUCAAGGUCGAGGCAACAACUGCUGCUCACCUCCAUCUUCUUGCAGAUGUUGAUUACCUACUCGUGGUAGCAACUGUGGAUGACAUCAUUGUUCUAGCUACCCACGUCAAUAUUAAAACCACAAAAUGCUUUAACUAUUUCCUUUAAAUGUCAAUAAUAUAAGUAAAAGACGUAGAGCAAAAUUGUAAUAAUAUGUAAUUUUUAUACAAAAUUUAUUGUUGUUUAAGAAUAACAUUUAUAAAAAUUGUACGUUAUUAAUUAAAAAUGUUGGGAAAAUGUACAAUCGGUAUGAAAAAAAUACUACCAAAAUAAAA